rnacentral:rRNA from 1 species
GCAGCCGCGGUAAUACGGAGGAUACAAGCGUUAUCCGGAUUUAUUGGGUUUAAAGGGUGCGCAGGCGGAUCAGUAAGUCAGGGGUGAAAAGCUACUGCUUAACAGUAGUCGUGCCUUUGAUACUGCUGGACUAGAGUGUAAUUGACGUGGUUGGAAUGUGAUGUGUAGCGGUGAAAUGCUUAGAUAUGUCACAGAACGCCGAUCGUGAAGACAGAUCACGAAAUUACUACUGACGCUCAUGCACGAAAGCGUGGGGAUCAAACAGGAUUAGAUACCCC